rnacentral:rRNA from 1 species
UCGGGAAUUUUGGGCAAUGGGCGAAAGCCUGACCCAGCAACGCCGCGUGAAGGAUGAAGUAUUUCGGUAUGUAAACUUCGAAAGAAUAGGAAGAAUAAAUGACGGUACUAUUUAUAAGGUCCGGCUAACUACGUGCCAGCAGCCGCGGUAAUACGUAGGGACCAAGCGUUGUUCGGAUUUACUGGGCGUAAAGGGCGCGUAGGCGGCAAUUCAAGUCAUCUGUGAAAUCUCCGGGCUUAACUCGGAACGGUCAGAUGAUACUGCUUUGCUAGAGUGCAGAAGGGGCAAUCGGAAUUCUUGGUGUAGCGGUGAAAUGCGUAGAUAUCAAGAGGAACACCUGAGGUGAAGACGGGUUGCUGGGCUGACACUGACGCUGAGGCGCGAAAGCCAGGGGAGCAAACGGGAUUAGAUACCCGAGUAGUCCCUGAGCGGGCUGG